rnacentral:rRNA from 1 species
AUGAACCGGGCCCUGGUCAUUUUGCUCCCAAAAAGUAACCAGGCGCGCUCCCCUGCGGACUUCCGACCCAUCUCCCUGCAGAACUGCCCUAUUAAGGGUAUAGCAAAACUUCUGACCAACCGGCUAAAACCUCUAAUCCCUCUCCUGGUCCACGUUGAUCAAACGGGGUUUAUCUCUGGGCGCAAUAUCUCCGAAAACUUCCUCUAUGCCGCUGAUAUUCUUCACUGUUGUGCCAAGCGCAAAGCUCCCACUCUUGUGAUCAAGCUUGAUUUUCGUAAGGCCUUCGACUCUGUCUGUUGGACGUCACUCCUGCACACUCUAAAGAUUAGGGGUCUCCCUGAUCGUUGGUGUGACUAGAUCAAAGCACUCCUUGCCACCGGAUCCACUGCCGUUAUGCUUAACGGAGUUCCUGCUAGAUGGAUCCAGUGCAAAAAUGGUCUCCGCCAAGGAGAUCCACUCUCCCCCUAUCUCUUCAUCAUCAUUGUAGACAUCCUGCAACAAUUGAUCAUUAAAGCUAAUAAUGAUGGGCUCCUAUUCCACCCCCUCUGCCCGCAUCUCCCCUACCCCGUCUUGCAAUACGCUGAUGAUACCCUCAUCAUCCUAAAAGCUACUCCCGAUGUUGCAAAACACCUAAAAGCGAUCCUUGACGAUUUUGCUGCGGCCACUGGACUCCAAAUCAACUUCACAAAGAUGACCUUCAUCCUCCUGAACAUUGAUCCUGCUGUCGUGGUUCUAAGUCUGACAGUAGUGUAG